AUUGAACGCUGGCGGCAGGCCUAACACAUGCAAGUCGAGCGGAUGAAGGGAGCUUGCUCCUGGAUUCAGCGGCGGACGGGUGAGUAAUGCCUAGGAAUCUGCCUGGUAGUGGGGGAUAACGUCCGGAAACGGGCGCUAAUACCGCAUACGUCCUGAGGGAGAAAGUGGGGGAUCUUCGGACCUCACGCUAUCAGAUGAGCCUAGGUCGGAUUAGCUAGUUGGUGGGGUAAAGGCCUACCAAGGCGACGAUCUGUAACUGGUCUGAGAGGAUGAUCAGUCACACUAGAACUGAGACACGGUCCAGACUCCUACGGGAGGCAGCAGUGGGGAAUAUUGGACAAUGGGCGAAAGCCUGAUCCAGCCAUGCCGCGUGUGUGAAGAAGGUCUUCGGAUUGUAAAGCACUUUAAGUUGGGAGGAAGGGCAGUAAGUUAAUACCUUGCUGUUUUGACGUUACCAACAGAAUAAGCACCGGCUAACUUCGUG
rnacentral:rRNA from 1 species